AUUGAACGCUGGCGGCAUGCCUUACACAUGCAAGUCGAACGGCAGCACGGGUGCUUGCACCUGGUGGCGAGUGGCGAACGGGUGAGUAAUACAUCGGAACAUGUCCUGUAGUGGGGGAUAGCCCGGCGAAAGCCGGAUUAAUACCGCAUACGAUCUACGGAUGAAAGCGGGGGACCUUCGGGCCUCGCGCUAUAGGGUUGGCCGAUGGCUGAUUAGCUAGUUGGUGGGGUAAAGGCCUACCAAGGCGACGAUCAGCAGCUGGUCUGAGAGGACGACCAGCCACACUGGGACUGAGACACGGCCCAGACUCCUACGGGAGGCAGCAGUGGGGAAUUUUGGACAAUGGGCGAAAGCCUGAUCCAGCAAUGCCGCGUGUGUGAAGAAGGCCUUCGGGUUGUAAAGCACUUUUGUCCGGAAAGAAAUACUUGGCCCUAAUACGGUCGGGGGAUGACGGUACCGGAAGAAUAAGCACCGGCUAACUACGUG
rnacentral:rRNA from 1 species